rnacentral:rRNA from 1 species
GAUGAACGCUGGCGGCGUGCCUAAUACAUGCAAGUCGAGCGAAUGGAUUAAGAGCUUGCUCUUAUGAAGUUAGCGGCGGACGGGUGAGUAACACGUGGGUAACCUGCCCAUAAGACUGGGAUAACUCCGGGAAACCGGGGCUAAUACCGGAUAACAUUUUGAACCGCAUGGGUCGAAAUUGAAAGGCGGCUUCGGCUGUCACUUAUGGAUGGACCCGCGUCGCAUUAGCUAGUUGGUGAGGUAACGGCCCACCAAGGCAACGAUGCGUAGCCGACCUGGGAGGGUGAUCGGCCACACUGGGACUGAGACACGGCCCAGACUCCUACGGGAGGCAGCAGUAGGGAAUCUUCCGCAAUGGACGAAAGUCUGACGGGGCAACGCCGCGUGAGUGAUGAAGGCUUUCGGGCCGUAAAACUCUGUUGUUAGGGAAGAACAAGUGCUAGUUGAAUAAUCUGGCACCUUGACGGUACCUAACCAGAAAGCCACGGCUAACUACGUGCCAGCCGCCGCAGUAA